GGCUCCGUUGGUCUAGGGGUAUGAUUCGCCUUGGGUGUGAGAGGUCCCGGGUUCAAAUCCGGAUGAGCCC
rnacentral:tRNA from 1 species